rnacentral:rRNA from 1 species
GACCCCUACGGGGCGCAGCAGUGAGGAAUAUUGGUCAAUGGGCGGGAGCCUGAACCAGCCAAGUCGCGUGAGGGAAGACGGUCCUACGGAUUGUAAACCUCUUUUGCCGGGGAGCAACGGGGUCCUUGCGAGGGCCCAAUGAGAGUACCCGGAGAAAAAGCAUCGGCUAACUCCGUGCCAGCAGCCGCGGUAAUACGUAGGUGGCAAGCGUUGUCCGGAUUUAUUGGGCGUAAAGCGAGUGCAGGCGGUUCAAUAAG